UGCAAAAACCUUCUCCCUUCCAUUUAUUUUUUUUUUCGCAUUUCUCUCGAUUUGCUCUCAAACCCCAUCCAUGGUGGAGCGACACAGGCAUGUCUGAUUCCUCUAUAAUAGGGCUCUGGUCCGCAAUACGGAGACCCAAACGAGCAGAACUAAAACAGUUCGUCCAAAAAUCCCCCCUUUGCAGGUAAAAACGAAGCCAUGCCAUUUCUCCUUUUGUUCGUUCAAAUUUUCCUCGCAGAUUGAUGCAUCCGUAGCCGUCCAUAACCCAACAACAACAACACACCCGCCGUGAGUACCCCGCCGUGGUGGAAAAUCGGAAAAACGGAAACCCAAAGUGGGAAGAGCCCUAAUGGUUUCAAAUCCGUACAACAACACAAGAACACACCCGGAGUCAGCAGCUCAGCUCAACCAAGGAUCUGCAAAUGUUGAGCGUACAACCGAGAGACAACAACUAUGAGCUUCCGGUCUAGUGGUUCCUGAAGCAAAAUCAACAGCAACUGUCGCGGCCUCUGUAUGUCAUAUAGGGGUAUACGGAUCCAUGAUAGAGCCAAGGACACAGAAGUAAACACACAAGAGCAACGGAGGAAAACAGCACAGGUCGCAUGACCCAGAUCGAUGCAUCUGGGAGGUCCCCAGAAAAGACUGAUUCCAGAAACCUCUCCUGCAGAGGACGAACCCGCUGCAAAUGUUGUUCCCUGCGUUUCCUCCUUAAAUGCUGUUCAAAUUCUGGAUCAAAUGGAAUCAAUUUUUGCACUGUUGAACGGGUGCUGACCAUGCACAGAUUUCUGAAAUCUGUACUGUUGUAAUCUGUAAAAAUAGAUGAAAACGAAAAUUAAAUAUUUUUUUGUUUUUUUUUAUAUAUGUAUAAACAGCAAUACUAAUUGAAAAUCUGAUUCGUAGGGAUUAUUUUAAAUAAUCCCCGGCAACGG